CUUGUGCCAAAGAGAUGUGUCGAAUCACGAGAAUGAAGAUCCAAUUUGCUGGUUCAUGCCUACACAUUUUGCACGAUAUGCUUUAAGCGACAAAUAUAUACCGGCAGAGGUUAUCUUUGAUUUCCUUGGAGCAUAUAUGUCACUGAAAAUUAGCCACGUC